UUAGUAAUUAUCCAUAGUAUAUUUUGAUAAAUUUUUCUCUCUUAAUGCAAUCCAGGUCAUUGUAUCUCCCUACAUAACUAAUUUUAUGAAUAUGCCCAAAACACAGAAAAUCUAAAAAACAAAGCAUAACCCCAUCACAACACAGCACACAAUCAAAUAGUAAAGAAAUAAAAUAUGGAUUUCACUUUGUUUUGGCCUACUAUUCCUGGGAAUGAAGUAGCCCUAGGUUGUUGUUGAUAUUCUCAAUAACUCCAUUUGAGAAACAUGAUUCUUCCUUUCCUUACAGAUAUAAACUGCAAGUACUUUCCAGAUGAGGAGUAGGACUCUGUGUUUAUACCCUUAACCAAUGCUGUAACUAAUAAUGUAAGGAUGGAGAUUUCCUUCAUUUUAAUAUCUACAUGGAUGAGAUUGGUGGCAUUAAGAAAGACAUUGAUGUGGAAACGUAAAGGAUAUUUGUGAUGGAUAUAUGACUAGUUUCUCCUUCAGAACACCAUGGCAGCAACCAAGGUAUCACCAAGAAGCAGUAGAAGCAAUAUGACUACAAAUGUGGUUACUGAGAAACGUAUCUAACUGUGUUUCAACCCUCAGAGAUACUUCUGAUAUAAGGUAAGAAAUAUAGUAAAAAUAUAUGGGGCUUACAAUUUA